rnacentral:rRNA from 1 species
UACGUAGGGACCGAGCGUUGUCCGGAAUCAUUGGGCGUAAAGAGCGUGUAGGCGGCCUUUUAAGUCCUGCGUGAAAUCCUGCGGCUCAACCGCAGACGGUCGUGGGAAACUGGAAGGCUAGAGUGCGGGAGAGGAGAGUGGAAUUCCCAGUGUAGCGGUGAAAUGCGUAGAUAUUGGGAGGAACACCGGUGGCGAAGGCGGCCCCCUGGACCGGAACUGACGCUGAGGCGCGAAAGCGUGGGUAGCAAACGGG